rnacentral:rRNA from 1 species
GCCCAGCUUGCUGGGUGGAUCAGUGGCGAACGGGUGAGUAACACGUGAGCAACCUGCCCUCCACUUCGGGAUAAGCCUUGGAAACGGGGUCUAAUACCGGAUAUGAGCCUGCAUCGCAUGGUGUGGGUUGGAAAGUUUUUCGGUGGGGGAUGGGCUCGCGGCCUAUCAGCUUGUUGGUGGGGUGAUGGCCUACCAAGGCGUCGACGGGUAGCCGGCCUGAGAGGGCGACCGGCCACACUGGGACUGAGACACGGCCCAGACUCCUACGGGAGGCAGCAGUGGGGAAUAUUGCACAAUGGGCGAAAGCCUGAUGCAGCGACGCCGCGUGAGGGAUGACGGCCUUCGGGUUGUAAACCUCUUUCAGCAGGGAAGAAGC